UACGUAGGGACCAAGCGUUGUUCGGAUUUACUGGGCGUAAAGGGCGCGUAGGCGGGAUGGCAAGUCGGUCGUGAAAUCCUUCGGCUCAACCGAAGAACGUCGAUCGAUACUGCUGUUCUUGAGGGUUGCAGAGGAGACUGGAAUUCCCGGUGUAGCGGUGAAAUGUGUAGAGAUCGGGAGGAACACCGGUGGCGAAGGCGGGUCUCUGGGCAAUUCCUGACGCUGAGGCGCGAAAGCGUGGGGAGCAAACGGG
rnacentral:rRNA from 1 species